GUACUCAGAGCUAAUGGCCCAGGAGGCAGCCUUCUCCCGAUUUCCUUUACCUGGAGCAACAUGGAAGCUUGCUGUGUGCAGUCGCCCAGAUGUCCUGAUGGGACUGGGUCCCAGCGGCUCACACUGAAAACCUGCCUAUUAACACACCACGUUCUGGCUUCCUUCUCUUCUCACUCUCCUCUGACUCUCCUACUGCUGUUUCCUGGGAUCGCUUUCCAACUCAACACUGCAGCUCAAAAGCCUUACUUAUCUGCCAGAAUCAGACAAGCACAGAGAUGUUGAAAUUGCCAGGCAGAGUGCACCACCUGGGAAAUCAGGACCAAAAGUUUAUGUCCUGCUUUCUCCCGCUAUGCAAAGUAAAAACAAACAACAGAAGCAAACCAAGCAAAUACCAACAACAAUAAAAUCUAGCAACAUCUGUUAUGCUGUCUACAGAGGACAGGUCCUAAUUGUCUGAACUGGUCUGUGCAAAUGGAUUAGUUUUUACAUGGCUGGCUUUAGAAGUGUUUCCAGGGAAGGAUUCCAGCCAUCCAUCUUUCCUACUGAUUCUUCACUUGAAGUUUGUAUAAGCUUUCUGAUUUUUUGACAUCAUACCUAACACAUUGCCUGGGAAUUGUGGGAAGGAGAUCUUUGACUCCCAGCUAGCUACCCAGAGGCUGGCUCAGACGAAGCACAUCUAAGUUUGGUUGUGUAAUUAUUUUUUUCCAUGCUUGUACCAAUACUCCGAGAUGAUACAGAUUAAAGGGGGGAAAACAGAGCUUGAGAGUUUUACAACUCCUGCAGGAGUUGGGAUGCGGUUUUCUAUCUGUCGCUUUGAUUGGGAAUUUAAAUCAUCUCGCAUUGCAGGCAAUUGGUUGCCUCCUAGGGUACAGAAUCUGACAGUUUAUAGCUCAAUCUGUGACUUGUUGACUUUAAAGGAAAAGUAGUAAAAAUUAAAAUGGAGAGAAACAGAUAAAUGUCCCAGGCCUGGGCUCUGAGAUGGAACAUUGUAUAAUGAUCACAUCUGCUGUGAACCAGCACUGGAAGGAAGGAUGCUGGUGCCGCAGGACUGCUUACCCUGCAGGGGAGCUAGACAAGAUUGGGUCAAGUUUAACACACAAAACCAGCCAGCAUGUCACAAGUGAAGCUGUUUGGACAAACAUACUACUGGACGCAUCUUGGGCUCAGCAACUUCAAAGGAUGAUCUGCAGCUCUGGUAUUUGGCAAAGCAGAACAGAGAAGCCUUUCUGCCUUCUGUUCUCAGACAGUCUGAUCCAGCAAAGUGUACAAAAACUCACAAUCUCAGAAGACGGUGACCUCAAGGCUUCAGGUGGGGGAUUUGGCUUGUGAACUUCUUGAAGGGGGAUAAUCAGUUGUCAGCAAUGAGGCAAAAUUCAAAGAGAUUUCUGUAGAGGUUUUUCAUCACAGAAACUGGGGCUGCCUAUGAACCUGCUGCUACAAAGGCAGAAACCAGGCCGGCGUGUCAGACCAAGAUGGAUAAGACAGUCAGAUUCUGUAUCUCUGAACCCUUGGACUGACAGAGC